rnacentral:rRNA from 1 species
UACAGAGGUGGCAAGCGUUUGUUCGGAAUUACUGGGCGUAAAGGGCGCGUAGGCGGCCAUCUAAGUCAGACGUGAAAUCCCCCCGGCUUAACCUGGGAACUGCGUCUGAUACUGGACGGCUUGAGUAUGGGGAGAGGGAUGUAGAAUUCCAGGUGUAGCGGUGAAAUGCGUAGAUAUCUGGAGGAAUACCGGUGGCGAAGGCGGCAUCCUGGACCAUUACUGACGCUGAGGGCGCGAAAAGCUAGGGGAGCAAACGGGG